AUUGAAAAUGUCAAGGCAAAGAUCCAAGACAAGGAAGGUAUAAAAAAAUUUACUCGAGUCUUUGGAUUUUUCCUAGACCAAAAUUUUCAU